rnacentral:rRNA from 1 species
AUUGAACGCUGGCGGCAGGCUUAACACAUGCAAGUCGAACGAUGACUAACUAGCUUGCUAGUUAUGAUUAGUGGCGGACGGGUGAGUAACAUUUAGGAAUCUGCCUAGUAGUGGGGGAUAGCUCGGGGAAACUCGAAUUAAUACCGCAUACGACCUACGGGUGAAAGGGGGCGCAAGCUCUUGCUAUUAGAUGAGCCUAAAUCAGAUUAGCUAGUUGGUGGGGUAAAGGCCCACCAAGGCGACGAUCUGUAACUGGUCUGAGAGGAUGAUCAGUCACACCGGAACUGAGACACGGUCCGGACUCCUACGGGAGGCAGCAGUGGGGAAUAUUGGACAAUGGGGGAAACCCUGAUCCAGCCAUGCCGCGUGUGUGAAGAAGGCCUUUUGGUUGUAAAGCACUUUAAGCAGGGAGGAGAGGCUAAUGGUUAAUACCCAUUAGAUUAGACGUUACCUGCAGAAUAAGCACCGGCUAACUCUGUGCCAGCAGCCGCGGUAAUACAGAGGGUGCGAGCGUUAAUCGGAAUUACUGGGCGUAAAGCGAGUGUAGGUGGCUCAUUAAGUCACAUGUGAAAUCCCCGGGCUUAACCUGGGAACUGCAUGUGAUACUGGUGGUGCUAGAAUAUGUGAGAGGGAAGUAGAAUUCCAGGUGUAGCGGUGAAAUGCGUAGAGAUCUGGAGGAAUACCGAUGGCGAAGGCAGCUUCCUGGCAUAAUAUUGACACUGAGAUUCGAAAGCGUGGGUAGCAAACAGGAUUAGAUGCCCUGGUAGUCCACGCCGUAAACGAUGUCUACUAGCCGUUGGGGUCCUUGAGACUUUAGUGGCGCAGUUAACGCGAUAAGUAGACCGCCUGGGGAGUACGGCCGCAAGGUUAAAACUCAAAUGAAUUGACGGGGGCCCGCACAAGCGGUGGAGCAUGUGGUUUAAUUCGAUGCAACGCGAAGAACCUUACCUGGUCUUGACAUAGUGAGAAUCCCGCAGAGAUGCGGGAGUGCCUUCGGGAAUUCACAUACAGGUGCUGCAUGGCUGUCGUCAGCUCGUGUCGUGAGAUGUUGGGUUAAGUCCCGCAACGAGCGCAACCCUUUUCCUUAUUUGCCAGCGGGUUAAGCCGGGAACUUUAAGGAUACUGCCAGUGACAAACUGGAGGAAGGCGGGGACGACGUCAAGUCAUCAUGGCCCUUACGACCAGGGCUACACACGUGCUACAAUGGUAGGUACAGAGGGUUGCUACACAGCGAUGUGAUGCUAAUCUCAAAAAGCCUAUCGUAGUCCGGAUUGGAGUCUGCAACUCGACUCCAUGAAGUCGGAAUCGCUAGUAAUCGCAGAUCAGAAUGCUGCGGUGAAUACGUUCCCGGGCCU